UCAUCUUAAAAUCCCCCAUUUUACUCCUAACUGUCAAGGAAAAACAGAUGGUUCUAAACUCCUCCUUCUAGGCUCCUAGUGGUAAAGCAAUUUGCAGGGUAACCGUGGAAGAAAGGUGCCUGCCCUCUCUAAGCUGACAUGGCCCUGCUCCCUCCCUCAGUCUGUGACCUCGGGAGGGGACUGCUUUGCCUGUGAGUGGGAGGGAGCUACUGUGUCAGUAGAUCCCAACAGACCAUCUGCAGUCAUUUUCCCAGGUGGCAGGAGAAACACAGAGCCAGACGUUACACUGCUUUUCAAAGAGACAACUGGACCAAAUCAGCAAAACAGAACCAUGUAUUCCAUCAGGACCGCCUUCACGUUGUGCCUGUGCAUCUGAGGCUGGGCGUCUGGACAGAGGGAGGAGACUGACCACGCGGAAGUGCGCUGGAUUCCUUCACCAAAGAUCAAAAUGCAAAAGGUGGAGGAAGACUGGAAAGGAAGUUGUGAGGAAUGCAGAGAGGAUGUGGAGAGGAAUGAAGGGUGAUGUUCCGCUUAGGGGGUCAUAGCACCUCCACCCAAGGCCACUGCGGGGGGCUUUCAAGGAUGCCUUGGCAAAUUUGCAGACAAGACCAUUGAGAAGAUAUUUGGACCCUGGUGGCAGUUUUUUAUGUGUUUCUCAGCAGGGAUGAAUUAGCACAAUUUGUGUUACAUGCAAUACAAGCAGGUUCUGGGUGGAGCACUUGGACAUGAGACAAGAGGCUAUGAUAAAAGGUAAACAAGAUAGAAUCGGGGAAUCUUAAGAGACGUGUGUGUGUGCAUGGAGAAAUUCCUUCUCAAGAAGAGGCAGAUUUGCUCAGCACUGAAGCCACACCCCAGAAGUCUGGGGCUCCGUGUGGAGGGUGAAUGCUGACCAGAGCCUGGGGACUGCAGCUUUUAAAGCCUGUUUCUGCUGCUCGCUGCGGGGCCUGCAGGGCUGAGCUUCAUCUUUUUGUGCUUCAUUUCACUAAUAGUGUGCUGCGGUAUACUGGAAGUGACUCUGAGACAGGGUCCAUGAGCUAUGAUUUGUAGCCUUCAUGCUGCCACUAAUAAGCUAAGUGACCUUUCUACUUAUCUGUAUUCUAGCUUUCUAAAAUUCAAAAUGAAGAAAUGUGGUCAUACAAUCUGUAUAAUUGCUUUUCCCUCCUCAGAGUUUUGAGUUUUUCUAGGUUAGAGAUAUACAAUUUUUUACACUAACAAUUUAUGCAUGGUUUUGUGUUUUUGUACUUUAAUAAAUCUGCCAAAUAAGAGAUCUUCUACCAUUUUGAUAAAUUUGUGUGGCAUCACUUGUCUAACAAAAUUUAGUUUCAACACUUUUAAGCCUCUACCAGCCAUGAUCCGGAGUCCAAGAGGACCUGGAAGGCAGUGCAUUCUGAGCAUGCGACACUCUGGCAAGGUCAUUCUGCUGUGUCUACCUUCACACGCAGGUUUUGACACUAGGGUCGUUAGGACAGUGCUUUUUUGAUGCAGUACACAUUUUGAAAUGCACACUAAUUUCAUGAUAAAACAUAACACACCAUCAGCCCUUUCAUUCAUAAUUAUCACCGAUUUCUGUAUGUAACAUACAGCCUCCUUUGAACCUGCAUCUUGAGCUCUAAACUCUUCUGAGCCAUGCUCUGUCCCUCAGGAUCAAAAUGCGUUACAGCUAGAAAACUUCCUAACAAAGAGUGGACGCUGAAUAAGUGAUUCUUAAAGGAUUGAGGGGAUGUCAUUAGAAUUUUACAUUCUAUACUGACUUCCCACACUCACUUUUGAGGAAAGAACUCUUUUUAUGAUUUUUUCAAUUGUGGUGUCCCUAGGGCUCAAAACAGAAUGAAUUAAUAAAGUAUUAAUGCAGCCAAUAAGUGAAUAACAAAGGCUGUUCAAUCUAACACAAAGGACAUUUAUUAAACACAUACUAUGUGUUACCAUAUGAUGUAUAUAUGCAUUUUAGAUAAAAUCAUGAACAUAGGGAUAAUGUAAAGGAUAAAAGUAAUUGAGGACAUAGGAAAAUAGGAAGUAUUUAUAAGGAAAUAAAACAGACAGCUUCUAAAGUGGCUUCAAUGAUUUUACCUCUUGGUAUUCAUGCCAUUGUGAAAUUUCCUCCCCUUGUACAUAAGCUGAACCAAUGGACUUUCUUCUAAAGAAUAGAAUAAGUAAAUCAAUAAAUGGGAUUCACCGCAUAAACAGAAUUAAAAACAAAAGCCAUAUGAUCAUCUCAAUAGAUGUAGAAAAAAGAAUUUGAUAAAAUGCAACAUCCUUUCAUGAUAAAAAGCCUUAAACUAAGCAUGAAAGAAACAGAACUCAAAAUAAUAAGGACCAUCUACGAUGAACCCACAGCGAACAUCAUACUGAGUGGACAAAAGCUGGAAGCAUUCACCUAGAGAACCAGAACAAGACAAGGAUGCGCCCUCUCACCACUCCAUUCAACAUAGUACUGGAAGAGCUAGCCAGAGCAAUCAGGCAAGAGAAAGAAAUAAAAGGCAUCCAAACAGGUAAAAAGAAAGUUAAAUUAUCUCUUUUUGCUGAUGAUAUGAGUCUAUAUUCAGAAAACCCUAAAGAUUAUACCCAAAGAUGCCUUGACCUGAAAAAUGACUUCAGUAAAGUUUCAAGACACAAAAUCAAUGUACAAAAAUAGUAGCACUUCUUUUUUUUAUGUCUUUUUUUUUUUGUCUUCAACUUUAUUUUAAGUUCCAGGGCACAGAUGCAGGAUGUUCAGGUUUGUUACAAAGCUAAAUGUGUGCCACAGUGUUUCCUAGACAGAUCAAUCCAUCACCUAGGUAUUAAGCCAAGUAUCCAUUAGCUAUUCUUCCUGAUGCUCUCCCUCCCCUCAUGCAUCAACAGGCCCCAGAGUGUGGACAUAUGUUCCCCU